rnacentral:ncRNA from 1 species
GCGGAAUUAACGUUUGCACCGAACCUUUACCGAAAGAUUUUUGUCCCAGAAUCACGGCACGGUGAUGAUCCUGCAAUGCACCGGAGACAAUUUCCGAAGCCGAAGCCGAGCCCUCGUUAAUCAUUACGACAAUCGGUAAGCCAUUGGCAAUAUCUCCCGGCGUUGCCGAAUAUUUAAUCGUAUCUUCUUCAUUACGCGAACGGGUUGAAACAAUCUCACCCUGCUCCAAGAACAAGUCGGAAACUUUAACCGCCUGAUCCAGCAAUCCGCCCGGAUUGUUGCGC